rnacentral:rRNA from 1 species
UGAAUACGAGAUGCUACGGCGUCGAAGCAGUCUAUGUCAUACUUCCAAGAAAAGCUUGCACUGUCAUAAACAAAUAAUGCCUGUACCAUAACCGACACAGGUGGGUAGGUAGAGUAUACUAAGGGGCGCGAGAUAACUCUCUCUAAGGAACUCGGCAAAAUGACUCCGUAACUUCGGGAGAAGGAGUGCCUUAUUUAUAAGGUUGCAAUAACAAGAUCCAAGCAACUGUUUACCAAAAACACAGGUCUCCGCUAAGUCGUAAGACGAUGUAUGGGGGCUGACGCCUGCCCAGUGCCAGAAGGUUAAAGAAGUUGGUUAGCAUCCGCGAAGCUGAUAACUGAAGCCCUGGUGAACGGCGGCCGUAACAAUAACGGUCCUAAGGUAGCGAAAUUCCUUGUCGGGUAAGUUCCGACCCGCACGAAAGGCGUAAUGAUUUGGAUACUGUCUCGGAGAGGGGCUCGGUGAAAUAGACUUGUCUGUGAAGAUGCGGACUACCUGCACCAGGACAGAAAGACCCUAUGAAGCUUUACUGUAACCUGAAAUUGAAAUUGGACUUUACUUGCGCAGUAUAGGUGGGAGGCGUUGAGAAUAUUCUUGCGGGAUUAUUGGAGCCAUCAGUGAGAUACCACUCUUGUAAUGUUAGAUUUCUAACUUUGUAUCAUUAUCUGGUCAAAGAACAGUUUCAGGCGGGCAGUUUGACUGGGGCGGUCGCCUCCUAAACAGUAACGGAGGCGCACAAAGGUUUCCUCUGAACGGGUAGAAAUCGUAUCUAGAGUGUAAAGGCAUAAGGAAGCUUGACUGUGAGACCUACAAGUCGAGCAGGGACGAAAGUCGGUCUUAGUGAUCUGACGGUGCUGAGUGGAAAGGCCGUCACUCAACGGAUAAAAGUUACUCUAGGAUAACAGGCUGAUCUCCCCCAAGAGUUCACAUCGACGGGGAGGUUUGGCACCUCGAUGUCGGCUCAUCGCAUCCUGGGGCGGUAGUACGUCCCAAGGGUUGGGCUGUUCGCCCAUGAAAGCGGUACGCGAGCUGGGUUCAGAACGUCGUGAGACAGUUCGGUCCAUAUCCGGUGUAGGCGUUAGAAUAUUGAGAGGAGCCUUCUUUAGUACGAGAGGACCGAGAAGGACAUACCUCUGGUGUACCAGUUAUCGUGCCAACGGUAAACGCUGGGUAGCUAUGUGUGGAGUGGAUAACCGCUGAAAGCAUCUAAGUGGGAAGCCCACCUCAAGAUAAGUAUUCUC